rnacentral:rRNA from 1 species
AGUGAACGCUGGCGGCGUGCCUAAUACAUGCAAGUCGAACGGAGUGGCGCACGGGUGAGUAAUGUAUAGCUAAUCUGCCCUACACUAGAGGACAACAGUUGGAAACGGCUGCUAAUACUCUAUAGUGUAGGAUGAGGCUAUAUUGUAUCAGCUAGUUGGUGAGGUAAUGGCUCACCAAGGCUAUGACGCAUAACUGGUCUGAGAGGAUGAUCAGUCGCACUGGAACUGAGGCACGGUUGGGACUCCUACGGGAAGGAGCAGUAGGGAAAAUUGGCCAAUGGGGGAAACCCUGAAGCAGCAACGCAGCGUGGAGGAUGACAAGUUGCGGGGCGUAAACUCAGUUUGUUAGGGAAGCGGUACCUAACGAAUAAGCACCGGCUAACUCCGUGCCAGCAGCCGCGGUAAUUC